rnacentral:rRNA from 1 species
AUUGAACGCUGGCGGCAGGCUUAACACAUGCAAGUCGAGCGGAGAUGAGGUGCUUGCACCUUAUCUUAGCGGCGGACGGGUGAGUAAUGCUUAGGAAUCUGCCUAUUAGUGGGGGACAACAUUCCGAAAGGAAUGCUAAUACCGCAUGCGCCCUACGGGGGAAAGCAGGGGAUCUUCGGACCUUGCGCUAAUAGAUGAGCCUAAGGCGGAUUGGCUAGUUGGUGGGGUAAAGGCCUACCAAGCCGACGAUCUGUAGCGGGUCUGAGGGGACGGUCCGGCACACUGGGCGUGAGACACGGCCCAGACCCCUACGGGGGGCAGCAGUGGGGGAUAUUGGACGCUGGGCGGAAGCCUGAACCAGCCAGGCCGGGUGUGUGAAGAAGGCCGUUUGGUUGUAAAGCACUUUAAGCGAGGAGGAGGCUACCUGGAUUAAUACUCGAGGAUAGUGGACGUUACUCGCAGAAUAAGCACCGGCUAACUCUGUGCCAGCCGCCGCGGUAAAAC